rnacentral:tRNA from 1 species
GGUUUGGCAGCUCAGUUGGCAGAGUGAUGGCCUGAAAAGUCAUGCGCCGCUGGUUCAAUUCCAGCCCGAACCUCCA